GCCAGACUCCUACGGGAGGCAGCAGUAGGGAAUUUUGCGCAAUGGGGGAAACCCUGACGCAGCAACGCCGCGUGAUUGAUGAAGCCCUUCGGGGUGUAAGGAUCUGUCAGUGGGGACGAAACUUGGCGGUACCCACAGAGGAAGCAUCGGCUAACUCCGUGCCAGCAGCCGCGGUAAUACGGGGGAUGCAAGCGUUAUCCGGAUUUACUGGGUGUAAAGGGAGCGUAGACGGUGAUGCAAGUCAGAAGUGAAAGCCCGGGGCUCAACUCCGGGACUGCUUUUGAAACUGUGUGACUGGAGUGCAGGAGAGGUAAGCGGAAUUCCUGGUGUAGCGGUGAAAUGCGUAGAUAUCAGGAGGAACACCAGUGGCGAAGGCGGCUUACUGGACUGUAACUGACGUUGAGGCUCGAAAGCGUGGGGAGCAAACAGGAUUAGAUACCCGCGUAAG
rnacentral:rRNA from 1 species